rnacentral:rRNA from 1 species
CCUACGGGAGGCAGCAGUGGGGAAUAUUGCACAAUGGGCGAAAGCCUGAUGCAGCGACGCCGCGUGAGGGAUGACGGCCUUCGGGUUGUAAACCUCUUUCAGUAGGGACGAAGCGCAAGUGACGGUACCUACAGAAGAAGCACCGGCUAACUACGUGCCAGCAGCCGCGGUAAUACGUAGGGUGCGAGCGUUGUCCGGAAUUAUUGGGCGUAAAGAGCUCGUAGGCGGUUUGUUGCGUCGGCUGCGAAAACCUACAGCUUAACUGUGGGCCUGCAGUCGAUACGGGCAGACUUGAGUUCGGCAGGGGAGACUGGAAUUCCUGGUGUAGCGGUGAAAUGCGCAGAUAUCAGGAGGAACACCGGUGGCGAAGGCGGGUCUCUGGGCCGAUACUGACGCUGAGGAGCGAAAGCGUGGGGAGCGAACAGGAUUAGAUACCCUGGUAGUCCACGCCGUAAACGGUGGGUGCUAGGUGUGGGGACGUUCCACGUCCUCCGUGCCGCNGCUACGCAUAGACACCCGCCGUCGGGAGGUACGGCCGCGACGGACGUAAACGUACGAAGUAAGUAAGUUAGUUACGGCGUGAGACGUGCCGACGGCGACGACGAGGGAGGAGG